CUCUUGACGAAAUAAAGCGAAUGCAAUAUGGCGUCGUUGUGCUGUGUCGUGGCUUUUGUAACUAAAACUCCGUUUUGACAUCACACUUAACUAUUCUCAUCAUAAUAAAACACCAUCGAAAACGAAAUAACAAAAUCAACAAAAACUUACAAAAACAAAACAAGUUAAUCAAAUUACAAAAACCAACAACAAAAUCGCGCACGAUUAAAAUAUAUCUAAAAAUACAAAAAGGACUGAGCUCAAGGAAGGCGUAAUUUAUGGUGGAGGAAUUAGAAAUUAAGGCGACUAAUUUCUUGUUCCAAACUUUUUUAAUAUUAAAAAGUUAAAAACAACAAAAUUUAAUACUUAUCCAAAGCAUUUGAAAACAAAUAACGUUCGGCAAACGCUUGCGAGACAGUGCUAACACGCGUGUGCACAUCCACGCGUGUGCCAGACUUUUAUAUUUUGUUGUUGGAAACCAACUUAGUCAACUUGAUUACAAAUUGCUGCAAAUGCAUCAGAAUUUUUUCUCAAUACUCAACAAUAUUGGAUUCCCUAUGCCUAAAAUAAACCAAAAAAAAAAAUAGAUAUAUCUUAAAAAUGUCUAAACAAAGGUAAUUCAGUAUCAGUUCCAUAAAAUAGUUGACCAACAUACUUUCAAGAAUCUCAAGGUGGAGGCGUUUGGAGUAGCCAGAAAGGUCAAACAACUUAGACGGAGAUAGUAAUUGCCUCAAAACAGACUUGCCCCUUGCUUCAGAUUGCGGUUUAAUCAAACAAAUGUGAAACAAUACUUUUCAGCUUAAUACUCUGCCACAUGGUUAACUAAUGUAGUGUAUCAUAAGUUACAAAAUAUAAAUUUAGAAAAUCAUAAAUCCAUAAACUCAUAAAAGGAGCAUUCCGAUGUUUGACGCUAUUGAAAACAAAAAGUAAACAUUACCAUCAACAGCAGAUAUAGACUAUUUACCGAUAAAGCAAUUCAAAUCUA